UUGCAAUCACUGGAACAUAGGGAAAUUUCAAAAGCUACUGAAAACGCAUGCUUAGCUUUGACUACAUUGAUAAUGUACAUAACAAAUAUUCAUACUUGAAUCCAAACUUAAACUCAAAUACAACCUGAAAAAUUCACACCUAUUAACUUUUCCUCAAUACCAACAGUAACGAUAUCUAGAUAAUUAGCACAAUUCACUUAAAUCCAAAAAUCAACACCCAAACUCUUAAAGAGCAUAAGUUCAUUUCUACAACACAUUAAUAACAUAAGAUAACUAAGCUAACAUGUACAACACAUGGCCUAUUACAGAACAUUUAAAGAAGUAGAAGAAGCAAAUGAAAAAAAAGGGAUCCAAAACAACUUGUAUUCAAUCAGGCCUCAAUUGGAAACACAUAUUCUUAGCUACUUGUUGACAAUGGUUUGAAGUAAUACCUGGUAGUGAACAAGGAAAAAAACAAAAGAGGUGAAGAAUCAGCAGUAAGCAGUAGCAGAAAUCAGCUUAAACCCAGCAAUGAAAUAGUGACAAAAAUCCAGCAAAUCAGGCUUCAAAUUUUCAAACUAAUUCUGAUGUUUUAGAACCCCAAGUGCAACAUUUCUACUGAACCCUUUAAAUCUGACUCUUCAACAAGGAAAUUAAACUUGAAAUCAAGCAGAAAAUGUAAACAAUUUUCAGUAUUCUUCUUGAAGAAAAAGAGCUCCAGCCAUUUUUUGCUUUUAGUAUUUUUCAGAGUUUUUUUUUUAUCUCUAGCCCCUUCCUUGAGCUUGAAGAAAGAAUGCCUUUAUAGGCAAGGUUUAGGGCAGCAUAGAAUGAGCUCAGUUUUGCAUUUUUGCCCUUUGGAUAUUUUCUUUUUUGCUUAAGAGUCCUCAACUUAAAAACUCAAUUUUCACAUAAGCCCCAAAGAUACCUUCCUAGCAGCUUCCUAAUUUAGUUAUUAGAGAUUCCCCCCACCUACAAUUCCCAAUUUAGCCCUUGAACACCCUGUUAUUACCCCUGAAACUAAACGGGUAUGGGUCAAAUUGACCCAAUGUUCCAAUCCAGUCUGGGCUUGCAAAACUCAAUAUGAAUUUGUUAUUUUUGGGCUUUUGAUUUCAAUCAAACCAACAAUCUAUAACCGAACCCAUAAUUUAAACAGACUGACCCGAAAUUUUUGAAAAGAAAAACCCGAAAACCCUUUUAAAAAUGAAACUAAAAACAAAAGAAAGGGAAAUGAACCACUAAUCAAAACAAAUAAGCUAAGCUUGGUUAUUAAACUAGUUAUGCAAAACAGAACAAACGGACAAGCGAACACAUGAUGAAGAAAAAGAAGAAAGGGUGCAGAAAAAGAUAGAAAUGAACUCAAACGAAGAAGAAGAAAACAUGCAAGAAAGGGAAAUGAAAAAUACCUAAAAUCUGGAUGGCUUAAUCUUGGAUCUUCAGAGAAAGCUUCAAUUUCUUGAACGAAAUGGGCCUUAAUUGUGUGUUUUCAAACGAAAACGCAUGAAUAAAGCCAAUUUCGGCCUUAAAACUUCGUUAGACUUCACUGAUUUGGUUUUGGGAUUUUAGGGUUCAUGUCUUCAAAUUAAGAUUCCAGCAGCUCUGGGAAAAUUCGAGGGAAACAAAGUAAGGAUUUGGAAUGAGGGGGUCCUGGGGGUUGUGUGGUGUUAAUUUAGGGUCAUUUGGGACCGCCGCAGCCACCGGAGGACGGUGGGAAAAUGAGGCGGCGCUUUAGGGUUUUACUUUUGGUCUCUGAGAUGGGGGAAUGAGAGAGACGAUGAGAGAGGGGGGGGG
rnacentral:lncRNA from 1 species